CCUUUCCCACAUCCUGUGGCACAGCAGGAGUAGCAGGGAAGAGAAGGCUUGAUUGUCAACAUUGCUCAAGCAGCAUUUGUUGUCCUGAGGUGCUGACUCCAGUGGAAGAGAUUUUAGUGGAAGCUUCUCCUGCAGUGCGCACAAGCUUCAUUUCAGAGCAACCUGGAGCUCAAGCAGGAGAGGUGCUCUGCAGAUGGCUCUCCACAUCGUCUUCCCUAACACACCAGUGAGGCACGAGACCGGGGCAGAAAUUCCAGUGUGGGGAGGGUGUGAG